AUUGAACGCUGGCGGCAUGCCUAACACAUGCAAGUCGAACGGUAACAGGCCCUUCGGGGUGCUGACGAGUGGCGGAUGGGUGAGUAGUACUUAGGAAUCUACCCUGUAGUGGGGGACAACCCGGGGAAACUCGGGCUAAUACCGCAUACACUCUACGGAGGAAAGCGGGGGACCGGCAAGGCCUCGCGCUAUUGGAUGAGCCUAAGCCCGAUUAGCUAGUUGGUGGGGUAAUAGCCUACCAAGGCAGUGAUCGGUAGCUGGUCUGAGAGGACGACCAGCCACACUGGGACUGAGACACGGCCCAGACUCCUACGGGAGGCAGCAGUGGGGAAUAUUGGACAAUGGGCGAAAGCCUGAUCCAGCGAUGCCGCGUGUGUGAAGAAGGCCUGGC
rnacentral:rRNA from 1 species